CUUCCCCGUUUCUUCCUUGAUCUGCGCUGCGCGCCCUAGCCACACUCCGACCAUUUCUCCUUCUCUUCCCAAAACCGAUGCGCUGCUCGCUGCUCACUGCUCGCGUCUGUUUCUUUCCCUCCGGUGCAAAGGCAGUGGCCAAGGGAAAGCCUCGCACCUCUCCAGCUUCUCUCGAGCCUCACCUUUCCUCUUCCUCUUAUUCGAUUUCCCUCGGCUUAGCACCGUGCCCUAGCUGUCUCGGCCACACACCGCGAUCCCGACGCCACCAAUGUGCCUGACGCGCCGCCGCCGCCCUUUCUCGCGUCGCCUCGGUCACCACAGCCGACACCAGUGUAAGAGAGCAACGCCAAGCCUUCGCCUCUUCGGGUCGGGGACAGGAACCGAGCACCGGAGUUGAUCUAAUUCCAGUGCCCUAGCGCCGACAUCAGAACCCUAGCGCCGACUGUUUCCUCUGCCCUAGCACUGAUUUGGUGCCGCGGUUACCAACCGAUCGCCGGCGAGGGUGGACAUUUAAGGUUCAGGGGUAAUCUUGGAGAAGGGAUGCUUGAUUUCAGCGACCACAACACUGUGGGCUGGACGUUUACAUCGCUAGAUUUGUGAUCAACACCUGUAAUUGAAGAGGAAGAGUGUGGUGAUUCCGGCAGGUGAAGUUGUGCCUUGUGGUCUUGGAUCAGUGGUGGUUAAUCCCAAUUUGGGACUUGGAUUCGAGACGAGUGUCUCGACGUGGGAUCUUUCGGAUACGAUCUCCAUUUUUGA